rnacentral:rRNA from 1 species
UGGGGAAUAUUGCACAAUGGGCGCAAGCCUGAUGCAGCCAUGCCGCGUGUGUGAAGAAGGCCUUCGGGUUGUAAAGCACUUUCAGCGAGGAGGAAGGUGGUGAACUUAAUACGUUCAUCAAUUGACGUUACUCGCAGAAGAAGCACCGGCUAACUCCGUGCCAGCAGCCGCGGUAAUACGGAGGGUGCAAGCGUUAAUCGGAAUUACUGGGCGUAAAGCGCACGCAGGCGGUUUGUUAAGUCAGAUGUGAAAUCCCCGGGCUCAACCUGGGAACUGCAUUUGAAACUGGCAAGCUAGAGUCUCGUAGAGGGGGGUAGAAUUCCAGGUGUAGCGGUGAAAUGCGUAGAGAUCUGGAGGAAUACCGGUGGCGAAGGCGGCCCCCUGGACGAAGACUGACGCUCAGGUGCGAAAGCGUGGGGCAGCAAACAGGAUUAGAUACCCUGGUAGUCCACGCUGUAAACGAUGUCGAUUUGGAGGUUGUGCCCUUGAGGCGUGGCUUCCGGAGCUAACGCGUUAAAUCGACCGCC